rnacentral:lncRNA from 1 species
AAUGAAGGGUGGUUUAUGGAUGUUUAAUGGUUUUGUAUUAUGGUUGUGGUUGUGGUUGAGGUUGUUGUUAUGAAAAAGAAGAAGAGGAGAUAUGGUUUAUUUAUGUACUUACUGAAACAUGAUAUGCUUAACAUGAAGAUGAUGGCAUGAGUGCCUUUUCAAAAGGAAGAUAUUUAUGGUAUAUUUUUUUGUGAGAGAGAAAAACUAGAUCUAGGGAGGCGCGUGUAAACUAGGAUCUCC